rnacentral:rRNA from 1 species
UACGGGGGGGGCAAGCGUUGUUCGGAAUUACUGGGCGUAAAGGGCUCGUAGGUGGCCAAUUAAGUCAGACGUGAAAUCCCCAGGCUUAACCUGGGAACUGCGUCUGAUACUGGUUGGCUUGAAUUCGGGAGAGGGAUGCAGAAUUCCAGGUGUAGCGGUGAAAUGCGUAGAUAUCUGGAGGAAUACCGGUGGCGAAGGCGGCGACCUGGUCCUUGACUGACGCUGAGGCGCGAAAGCGUGGGGAGCAAACAGG